CCACUAAUCCAAGACAUCCUUAGUGACAAAAAUAAUAUGAAAGACCUUAGGUGUCACGUAUUUGAUUAUUGAGUUAGCUAGCAUAAACUUUAUCUCUAUAUGUUCUAUCAUUCAACAACAACUAAUAAGUCGACAAACUUUAUAAAAUAGUUGUUGAAACAUUAUCCGACUGGCUUAUGUCACAAUAUAGCUUGAGUUGUCUUUCAAAAACUUUUACUUUAUGCAACCAAGUGACAUAAAUACUUACAGUCAGUUCUCGAGUUAAAAUGUCCAUUAUAUAUAGACAUCCAAAAGGAUCAGAGUCAAACAUCCUGAUGAUCUCCAAAUUGUUAGAUCUCCGAUAUGUGAGCACAAAUUAUUGUUCUCUAUAACAAUCUUUAUGGUUGCCUCAUUCUAACAAUUCAAAUUUUGAAUUGCUCAAGUACCUGCCAAAUGAUCUUAUCGUAUACACUAUUUCCGGAUGCGU
rnacentral:lncRNA from 1 species